AUGUGACUGCAGGACACAUGAACACCGACACGUUGAACGCAUAUUGCACAUCGUACAACAGUACGAUGUACACAUUUUUGAGUGCCUAUAUUUAUCCAUUCAACUAUACGUGCGUGUGCGUACGUAUGCGUAGUGACGUUUUCCCGCCUUCGGUGCGCGGUAAAACGUUGAAGAUAGUCAGACGUGGUUGCCGCUCCUUUUGGUGCGCCUCCGCGGUUGAUGAGUACAUCCCAUUUCCGCACGCGCACCCCGCGCACGCGAGAUGUUGUGCUCCAUCAGGCGAACUUGGGUGUUCGCUCUGACGAAAUGCUCUGACGUUGAACUGGUUAGCCAGUAGGCCUCAAAUAAUGUGUGACUACCCCCUAAAUUUAAGCAU
rnacentral:rRNA from 1 species